GACGAACGCUGGCGGCGUGCCUAAUACAUGCAAGUAGAACGCUGAAGAGAGGAGCUUGCUCUUCUUGGAUGAGUUGCGAACGGGUGAGUAACGCGUAGGUAACCUGCCUUGUAGCGGGGGAUAACUAUUGGAAACGAUAGCUAAUACCGCAUAACAAUGGAUGACACAUGUCAUUUAUUUGAAAGGGGCAAUUGCUCCACUACAAGAUGGACCUGCGUUGUAUUAGCUAGUAGGUGAGGUAACGGCUCACCUAGGCGACGAUACAUAGCCGACCUGAGAGGGUGAUCGGCCACACUGGGACUGAGACACGGCCCAGACUCCUACGGGAGGCAGCAGUAGGGAAUCUUCGGCAAUGGGGGCAACCCUGACCGAGCAACGCCGCGUGAGUGAAGAAGGUUUUCGGAUCGUAAAGCUCUGUUGUAAGUCAAGAACGAGUGUGAGAGUGGAAAGUUCACACUGUGACGGUAGCUUACCAGAAAGGGACGGCUAACUACGUGCCAGCAGCCGCGGUAAUACGUAGGUCCCGAGCGUUGUCCGGAUUUAUUGGGGCGUAAAGCGAGCGCAGGCGGUUUGAUAAGUCUGAAGUUAAAGGCUGUGGCUCAACCAUAGUUCGCUUUGGAAACUGUCAAACUUGAGUGCAGAAGGGGAGAGUGGAAUUCCAUGUGUAGCGGUGAAAUGCGUAGAUAUAUGGAGGAACACCGGUGGCGAAAGCGGCUCUCUGGUCUGUAACUGACGCUGAGGCUCGAAAGCGUGGGGAGCGAACAGGAUUAGAUACCCUGGUAGUCCACGCCGUAAACGAUGAGUGCUAGGUGUUGGAUCCUUUCCGGGAUUCAGUGCCGCAGCUAACGCAUUAAGCACUCCGCCUGGGGAGUACGACCGCAAGGUUGAAACUCAAAGGAAUUGACGGGGGCCCGCACAAGCGGUGGAGCAUGUGGUUUAAUUCGAAGCAACGCGAAGAACCUUACCAGGUCUUGACAUCCCGAUGCUAUUUCUAGAGAUAGAAAGUUACUUCGGUACAUCGGUGACAGGUGGUGCAUGGUUGUCGUCAGCUCGUGUCGUGAGAUGUUGGGUUAAGUCCCGCAACGAGCGCAACCCCUAUUGUUAGUUGCCAUCAUUCAGUUGGGCACUCUAGCGAGACUGCCGGUAAUAAACCGGAGGAAGGUGGGGAUGACGUCAAAUCAUCAUGCCCCUUAUGACCUGGGCUACACACGUGCUACAAUGGUUGGUACAACGAGUUGCGAGUCGGUGACGGCAAGCUAAUCUCUUAAAGCCAAUCUCAGUUCGGAUUGUAGGCUGCAACUCGCCUACAUGAAGUCGGAAUCGCUAGUAAUCGCGGAUCAGCACGCCGCGGUGAAUACGUUCCCGGGCCU
rnacentral:rRNA from 1 species